rnacentral:rRNA from 1 species
CCUACGGGAGGCAGCAGUCGAGAAUCAUUCACAAUGGGGGAAACCCUGAUGGUGCGACGCCGCGUGGGGGAAUGAAGGUCUUCGGAUUGUAAACCCCUGUCAUGUGGGAGCAAAUUAAAAAGAUAGUACCACAAGAGGAAGAGACGGCUAACUCUGUGCCAGCAGCCGCGGUAAUACAGAGGGCUCAAGCGUUGUUCGGAAUCACUGGGCGUAAAGCGUGCGUAGGCUGUUUCGUAAGUCGUGUGUGAAAGGCGCGGGCUCAACCCGCGGACGGCACAUGAUACUGCGAGACUAGAGUGAUGGAGGGGGAACCGGAAUUCGCGGUGUAGCAGUGAAAUGCGUAGAUAUCGAGAGGAACACUCGUGGCGAAGGCGGGUUCCUGGACAUUAACUGACGCUGAGGCACGAAGGCCAGGGGAGCGAAAGGGAUUAGAUACCCGAGUAGUC